UACGGAAGGCAGCAGUGGGGAAUAUUGCACAAUGGGCGAAAGCCUGAUGCAGCUAUGCCGCGUGUAUGAAGAAGGCCUUAGGGUUGUAAAGUACUUUUCAUCGGGGAGGAAAAACAAAACUAAUAAUUUUAUUUCUUGACGUUACCCGAAAAAGAAGCACCGGCUAACUCCGUGCCAGCAGCCGCGGUAAUACGGAGGGUGCUAGCGUUAAUCAGAAUUACUGGGCGUAAAGAGCACGUAGGUGGUUUUUUUAAGUCAGAUGUGAAAUCCCUGGGCUUAACCUGGAACUGCAUUUUGAAACUGAAAUACUAGAGUAUCGUAGAGGGAGGUAGAAUUCUAGGUGUAGCGGUGAAAUGCGUAGAUAUCUGGAGGAAUACCUGUGGCGAAAGCGGCCUCCUAAACGAAUACUGACACUGAGGGUGCGAAAGCGUGGGGAGCAAACAGGGAUUAGAUACC
rnacentral:rRNA from 1 species